GCAUGUACGUACGUAUAUAUAUGAUAUGAUAACAAAGUGUGUGUUGCGUGUGCGUGUGUGAUAUGAUAACAAAGUGCGUGCGUGCGUGGAGUCUAGCUGACAACACGGAGUUAUCUUCACCAAAUUAACAUUCAAAUCUCACUCGUAUCACAGUGAGACGUAUUUAACGGUUUCUAAGAGAGCUAUCCCUGCUUGUAUUGCCGAUUGCUUACAAACCUCUUUCUAUAGUUUAUUAAGGAAAAUAGAUAAAAUAAUUGGUGUUCUCGAUCCCUACACUAAUGCAAGUCUAGUGUCAAAGCUAUCUACUCGUCUAAACAACCAUGCAUCAGUGGCCAACGUUGUCUAUGCUACCGCUUAACCCAGGUCCUCACUGCCACCAUUCUAGCCUAGUUGAAUGAAUAAUUGUUUGAAGGCUUCGGAAAAGCCAGCCUGAUGAAAAUAUGCUACGAUAAACAAGGUUAUCUGUACCAGUAUAUAAUUGCGAUGGGGCAUGAUCAUCAGACAGGUUUUCACCGUGGCACCACCUUGAAACAUGAACAAGGAUGGCGCAUAAAGGAAUCGGGUAAUUGAGUUCCAUAAUGAAACUGGCAAUAAACGCAAAAAUACAGCAAGCCUAGAACUCUUACCACUAGUUGCAAAUUCUCAAUGAGGACGUGGCAUGGCCUACAAACAUGGAGCAAAAUGUUACCAGAUAAUUGUAGGAUGGUAUCUACGCUCAAGGAAACCAUUGUGUCAACAAACCAACUUGGAAGCUAUCGGGGAUACACAAUAGACACGCAUAAACGAUAAAUUCUCACUACUUUCUGGCGGUUGUUAUCCUCUUUUAGAUGAUUUACUCAGUGAAUUCUCACUUCUUUUUGGCAGUUGCUUUACUCUUUUAGAUGAUGUACUCAGUAUCAUAUAUCAAAUGGAUAGCAUUCUAGCUUUGUAUGACCAUAUUCAACUGAAGAAGCAUCCUAGUUAUACCUAUGCUAUCAAGGAUUGGCCAUGGAUUACGGUUGACAACAGUCAACUAUGGUCAAUAAUCUAUGAACAAUGUUGGACAAAUUUCACCUAGGAAAACAUCCGAGAUGUUCUAGCUCUAUUCCACUGCAUUAUAUAGCUGGUGAAUUCUUACUUACCUGAGAACUAUCAUAUAAAGAACUGGAGAUUCUGCAUUCUUUCUCCAUAAACCCUGUAUCACACUGUCAGGGAAACCAAAUCUUUGCAAACUCUUAACUAUUGAGAGCAGACAACAUCAGAUAUAACUCUGGCCACACAGUACUACAACACUUGCUCUAGAGAAACAUCAGUGUUAAAUAUGAUUUGUCCACAUAGAAAACGUAUACUCUCCAUUCUUGAUAGAGGCACAUCUAUGAGCUAUGAAGAAACACGUUCUUAUAUUCCAUGUUCUUGCGGUAAUGUUUUAGACAGUAACAUAAAUUCAACCUGGGACUGCUUCGAUAUUCCUCAUUGACGUAUUUCAGAUUCUAUAACAUGUGCCUGAAUCUGCAUAAGUUUUCUUACAGUUAUUUAGUUAUUAUGUUUGUGUUCUAUGUUUUUGUAGCAAUCAUAUAUAUAUAUAUAUAUAUAUAUAUAUAUAUAUAUAUAUAUAUAUAUAUAUAU
rnacentral:lncRNA from 1 species